rnacentral:rRNA from 1 species
UGGGGAAUUUUGGACAAUGGGCGCAAGCCUGAUCCAGCCAUGCCGCGUGCGGGAAGAAGGCCUUCGGGUUGUAAACCGCUUUUGUCAGGGAAGAAAUCUUCUGAGUUAAUACCUCGGGAGGAUGACGGUACCUGAAGAAUAAGCACCGGCUAACUACGUGCCAGCAGCCGCGGUAAUACGUAGGGUGCAAGCGUUAAUCGGAAUUACUGGGCGUAAAGCGUGCGCAGGCGGUUUUGUAAGACAGAGGUGAAAUCCCCGGGCUCAACCUGGGAACUGCCUUUGUGACUGCAAGGCUUGAGUGCGGCAGAGGGGGAUGGAAUUCCGCGUGUAGCAGUGAAAUGCGUAGAUAUGCGGAGGAACACCGAUGGCGAAGGCAAUCCCCUGGGCCUGCACUGACGCUCAUGCACGAAAGCGUGGGGAGCAAACAGGAUUAGAUAGCCCUGGUAGUCCACGCCCUAAACGAUGUCAACUGGUUGUUGGGAAGGUUCCUUCUCAGUAACGUAGCUAACGCGUGAAGUUGACCGCCUGGGGAGUACGGCCGCAAGGUUGAAA